AGCCCAAUCCUAUGGGGUGUAAGGCCAAGUGAUGGUGUGUUAUGCGAAACAGACUCGGGCUCAUCCAAGGCCCAAAGCAAAAAGAAACAAGAAGGAGCCAAAGGCUCACUUCCUGCAUCUUCCUCAUGAUCAGAUGUGACCACGAGAAUGAAAUAGGUCGCGAAGGACCAGGUUGCGCCGACUCCGUCGUCGAUAGCGGCAAUCUCAAACGACGACGCCUCCGCGCCACUCUCUGAAUCCUUCUGUCCUAAUAGAGAAACGACUUAUCCACCAACACCAAACGAUAGAUAACGUGAUUCGGUGCUUACCAGCGACGACAACGACGAGUUCGAAGCUCUGAUCCUUCGAUCCUCUCCGGCGCGAUAUGCUUUUGUUGCAUGGCUACGUUUCACUUUCUCGUUGCUUUUCACGAUUGGCUUGGUGCUUAGAAUUGGUGUGGUGACGUUGUUGUGUUAUUUCUGUCUGCAGGUGGAAGACUUCCAGAGCUCCUGUUUGAAAAUGGAGGAAAGUUCAAAGCUCCAAGACGAAGCCAAUCGGAGAUGAUGAAGAUGAGAUCGCCGGAAGUUAUUCUGGUUGAGAUGGUGCGGAUGGAUAACGUAGAAACAGGAGAAUGUUGAAGAAAGAGAGAAAGAGUUUGAUGAGGAUAUGAGGUGCGGGAAGAAGGAUCGGAUUUCUGUUGUCCAUUUUUGUGAAUCUUCUAUGUAGUUCUAUUAUGAGGAUUAGUGGAAUUUCUGAAUGGUUGCAGAAAGAUGGCGGAUUCGGUUUUGAUCGGUGGCAGGUCGUUAAAGGAAGCUGUGAAGGUUGUUAGAGUUUCAGUUAGAGGCACUGUUCUGCGGAUUGAGGGGUGAGUUGACGGAGAGGAAUGGGGAGUGAAGAGGUUAGAGGCGCAAGAGGAAGAAGAAAGUGGAAGAUUUUGAAGAAGAGCUUUGGAUGCUUUGAGGCGUUUACAGGUUUUCAUUUGAUUCCGUUCCCUCGUUGGCCCCCUUCUUUAGUGAGCUGCAUUUCAGCUGGUGUAAAGCUUUGUUUCAUGUUCAAUAGCUGCGAUUGGCGUUUGUAUUGUGGCAGCUUGUGUUUGCUGGCUUACGGUUAGCUCGCGUCGUUUGCAGCAUUCGGAUGCCGUUUGGCUUGUUGCAGCUUGCAAUUUACGCUGCAGUUUCUGGUUGGAGUGUUUGUUGCAGCUUCGGGUUUGGCUUACGUCGCCGUCGGCUUGUAGCUGCGGUUUAUUUUGGCAGCAGCUUUCUGAGUCGUGGUUUAGUUCCAUUUUGUACCUCGCGGUUUCAAUUGCCUUGUUGCGUGUUUUGGUGUAGCUUCGCGUUGUACUUUGCUGAUGUAGAUUGCAGCCUUUAUUCACUUUCCAAUGGCAUUUUUUCUUCUCUUAUUUGGAUA